CACCAGUAAUAUUGUAUGGACUGGGAUCGUUCGCCUACGUUUGCCGCUAGGGGCGCUGUUCCAACUGCAUACAAAAUUGGGUUA
rnacentral:pre_miRNA from 1 species